rnacentral:rRNA from 1 species
CGGAGGGUGCAAGCGUUAUCCGGAUUCACUGGGUUUAAAGGGUGCGUAGGUGGGCAGGUAAGUCAGUGGUGAAAUCUCCGGGCUUAACUCGGAAACUGCCAUUGAUACUAUCUGUCUUGAAUACCGUGGAGGUCAGCGGAAUAUGUCAUGUAGCGGUGAAAUGCUUAGAUAUGACAUAGAACACCAAUUGCGAAGGCAGCUGGCUACACGAAUAUUGACACUGAUGCACGAAAGCGUGGGGAUCAAACAGGAUUAGAUACCCUGGUAGUCCACGCCCUAAACGAUGGAUACUCGACAUACGCGAUACACUGUGUGUGUCUGAGCGAAAGCAUUAAGUAUCCCACCUGGGAAGUACGAUCGCAAGAUUG